CCUACGGGUGGCAGCAGUGGGGAAUAUUGGACAAUGGGGGCAACCCUGAUCCAGCCAUACCGCGUGUGUGAAGAAGGCCCUCGGGUUGUAAAGCACUUUCAGUGAGGAAGAACGCCUGGUGGUUAAUACCCAUCAGGAAAGACAUCACUCACAGAAGAAGCACCGGCUAACUCCGUGCCAGCAGCCGCGGUAAUACGGAGGGUGCGAGCGUUAAUCGGAAUUACUGGGCGUAAAGCGCGCGUAGGUGGCUUGAUAAGCCGGUUGUGAAAGCCCCGGGCUCAACCUGGGAACGGCAUUCCGGACUGGCCAGGUAGGGUGGAGGAGAGGAAGGUAGAAUUCCCGGUGUAGGGGUGAAAUGCGUAGAGGUCGGGAGGAAUAACAGUGGCGAAGGGGGCCUUCCGGAAUGACACUGACACUGGGGUGCGAAAGCGUGGGUAGCAAACAGGAUUAGAUACCCCUGUAGUC
rnacentral:rRNA from 1 species